AGGCCUUGACAUACUAAGAACUUUCCAGAGAUGGAUUGGUGCCUUCGGGAACUUAGAUACAGGUGCUGCAUGGCUGUCGUCAGCUCGUGUCGUGAGAUGUUGGGUUAAGUCCGCAACGAGCGCAACCCUUUUCCUUAUUUGCCAGCGGGUCGUGCCGGGAACUUUAAGGAUACUGCCAGUGACAAACUGGAGGAAGGCGGGGACGACGUCAAGUCAUCAUGGCCCUUACGGCCAGGGCUACACACGUGCUACAAUGGUCGGUACAAAGGGUUGCUACCUCGCGAGAGGAUGCUAAUCUCAAAAAGCCGAUCGUAGUCCGGAUCGCAGUCUGCAACUCGACUGCGUGAAGUCGGAAUCGCUAGUAAUCGCGGAUCAGAAUGCCGCGGUGAAUACGUUCCCGGGCCUUGUACACACCGCCCGUCACACCAUGGGAGUUUGUUGCACCAGAAGUAGGUAGUCUAACCGCAAGGAGGACGCUUACCACGGUGUGGCCGAUGACUGGGGUGAAGUCGUAACAAGGUAGGCGUAGAUGA
rnacentral:rRNA from 1 species